rnacentral:rRNA from 1 species
AUUGAACGCUGGCGGCAGGCUUAACACAUGCAAGUCGAGCGGAGAUGAGGUGCUUGCACCUUAUCUUAGCGGCGGACGGGUGAGUAAUGCUUAGGAAUCUGCCUAUUAGUGGGGGACAACAUUCCGAAAGGAAUGCUAAUACCGCAUACGUCCUACGGGAGAAAGCAGGGGAUCUUCGGACCUUGCGCUAAUAGAUGAGCCUAAGUCGGAUUAGCUAGUUGGUGGGGUAAAGGCCUACCAAGGCGACGAUCUGUAGCGGGUCUGAGAGGAUGAUCCGCCACACUGGGACUGAGACACGGCCCAGACUCCUACGGGAGGCAGCAGUGGGGAAUAUUGGACAAUGGGGGAAACCCUGAUCCAGCCAUGCCGCGUGUGUGAAGAAGGCCUUAUGGUUGUAAAGCACUUUAAGCGAGGAGGAGGCUACUGAGACUAAUACUCUUGGAUAGUGGACGUUACUCGCAGAAUAAGCACCGGCUAACCCUGUGCCAGCCGCCGCAGUAAGAC